CUUGGUCAUUUAGAGGAAGUAAAAGUCAUAACAAGGUUUCCGUAGGUGAACCUGCGGAAGGAUCAUUAAUAGUGCCCUCUGAUGCAAAUCAUUGGGUUAGAUCUGCUCUCUUCGCAAGAAGAGGGUUUCCAUACACACCGUGAACUGUGGCUUCGGCCAUCACAAACUGUUAGUAAUGAAUGUAAUAUCAUAACAAAAACAAAACUUUUAACAACGGAUCUCUUGGCUCUCGCAUCGAUGAAGAACGCAGCGAAAUGCGAUAAGUAAUGUGAAUUGCAGAAUUCAGUGAAUCAUCGAAUCUUUGAACGCACCUUGCGCCCUUUGGUAUUCCGAAGGGCAUGCCUGUUUGAGUGUCAUGAAACCUCACCCCACUUGGGUUUUUGCCUGAGCGGUGGUGUAUUGGGUGUUGCCUUGCUAAAGGCUCGCCUUAAAGACAUAAGCACCUUGGAUGUAAUACGUUUCAUCCUUCUGGGUGGCUGAUAACCCCACAUAUUCAUGAUCUGGCCUCAAAUCAGGUAGGGCUACCCGCUGAACUUAAGCAUAUCAAUAAGCGGAGGA
rnacentral:rRNA from 1 species